rnacentral:rRNA from 1 species
GAAGGGUGCAAGCGUUGUUCGGAUUUAUUGGGCGUAAAGCGCGCGCAGGCGGAUAAUCAAGUCAGAUGUGAAAUCUCGGGGCUCAACCUCGAAACUGCGUCUGAAACUGUUUAUCUAGAAUCUUGGAGAGGGAGGUGGAAUUUCGCAUGUAGGGGUAAAAUCCGUAGAGAUGCGAAGGAACAUCGGAGGCGAAGGCGACCUCCUGGACAAGUAUUGACGCUGAGGCGCGAAAGCGUGGGGGAGCAAACAGGAUUAGAUACCCUGGUAGUCCACGCCGUAAACGAUGAGAACUAGAUAUGGGUGACUUUGACCUCUUCCGUAUCGUAGCUAACGCAUUAAGUUCUCCGCCUGGGAGUACGGUCGCAAGACU